rnacentral:tRNA from 2 species
UGGGCUAUUAGCUCAGGUGGUUAGAGCGCACCCCUGAUAAGGGUGAGGUCCCUGGUUCAAGUCCAGGAUGGCCCACCU